rnacentral:rRNA from 1 species
UACGGGGGGGGCAAGCGUUGUUCGGAAUUACUGGGCGUAAAGGGUCUGUAGGUGGCCAACUAAGUCAGACGUGAAAUCCCUCAGCUUAACUGGGGAACUGCGUCUGAUACUGGAUGGCUUGAGUUUGGGAGAGGGAUGCGGAAUUCCAGGUGUAGCGGUGAAAUGCGUAGAUAUCUGGAGGAACACCGGUGGCGAAGGCGGCAUCCUGGACCGACACUGACACUGAGGAGCGAAAGCCAGGGGAGCAAACGGG